rnacentral:rRNA from 1 species
GAUGAACGCUGGCGUCGUGCCUAAUACAUGCAAGUCGAGCGAACAGAUGAGGAGCUUGCUCCUCUGACGUUAGCGACGAACGGGUGAGUAACACGUGGAGAACCUACCUAUAAGACUGGGAUAACUUCGGAAAACCGGAGCUAAUACCGGAUAAUAUAUUGAACCGCAUGGUUCAAUAGUGAAAGACGGUUUUGCUGUCACUUAUAGAUGGAUCCGCUCCGCAUUAGAUAGUUGGUAAGGUAACGGCUUACCAAGGCAACGAUUGUUAGCAGACCUGUAAGGGUGAUCAGCCACACGGGAACUGAGACAAGGUCCAGACUACUCCGGGAGGCAGCAGUAGGGAAUCUUCGACAAUGGGCGGAAGCCUGACGGAGCAACGCAGCGUGAGUGAUGAAGGUCUUCGGAUCGUAAACCUCUGUUAUUAGGGAAGAACAAGUGUGUAAGUAACUAUGCACGUCUUGAGGAUACAUAAUCAGAAAGCCACGGCUAACUACGUG